rnacentral:piRNA from 1 species
UAGCAUCGAAGAGACAAAGCCAGCGGUGU